rfam:Pseudocercospora fijiensis CIRAD86 unplaced genomic scaffold MYCFIscaffold_18, whole genome shotgun sequence.
GCCUUUAUAGCUUAACGGUAGAGCGGAAUACUGUUAAUAUUAUAAUAUAUGUUUAAUUUAUAUUAAGGGCU